rnacentral:rRNA from 1 species
GUCUACGGCCAUACCACCCUGAACGCGCCCGAUCUCGUCUGAUCUCGGAAGCUAAGCAGGGUCGGGCCUGGUUAGUACUUGGAUGGGAGAGUACAUAUCCCAUAAUUU